GUUUGAUCCUGGCUCAGGAUGAACGCUGGCGGCAUGCCUAAUACAUGCAAGUCGAACGAGAGGAAGGAAAGCUUGCUUUUCUGAAUCUAGUGGCGAACGGGUGAGUAACACGUAGGUAACCUGCCCAUGUGCCCGGGAUAACUUCUGGAAACGGAUGCUAAAACCGGAUAGGUAGCAGACAAGCAUUUGACUGCUAUUAAAGUGGCUAUGGCCAUGAACAUGGAUGGACCUGCGGUGCAUUAGCUAGUUGGUGAGGUAACGGCCCACCAAGGCGACGAUGCAUAGCCGGCCUGAGAGGGCGGACGGCCACAUUGGGACUGAGACACGGCCCAAACUCCUACGGGAGGCAGCAGUAGGGAAUUUUCGUCAAUGGGGGGAACCCUGAACGAGCAAUGCCGCGUGAGUGAGGAAGGUCUUCGGAUCGUAAAGCUCUGUUGUAAGAGAAAAACGGCACUCAUAGGGAAUGAUGAGUGAGUGAUGGUAUCUUACCAGAAAGUCACGGCUAACUACGUGCCAGCAGCCGCGGUAAUACGUAGGUGGCGAGCGUUAUCCGGAAUGAUUGGGCGUAAAGGGUGCGUAGGUGGCAGAUCAAGUCUGGAGUAAAAGGUAUGGGCUCAACCCGUACUGGCUCUGGAAACUGAUCAGCUAGAGAACAGAAGAGGACGGCGGAACUCCAUGUGUAGCGGUAAAAUGCGUAGAUAUAUGGAAGAACACCGGUGGCGAAGGCGGCCGUCUGGUCUGGAUUCUGACACUGAAGCACGAAAGCGUGGGGAGCAAAUAGGAUUAGAUACCCUAGUAGUCCACGCCGUAAACGAUGAGAACUAGGUGUUGGGGGAAUAACUCAGUGCCGCAGUUAACGCAAUAAGUUCUCCGCCUGGGGAGUAUGCACGCAAGUGUGAAACUCAAAGGAAUUGACGGGGGCCCGCACAAGCGGUG
rnacentral:rRNA from 1 species